CUAUUUUUAUGUAAUUAAACUAUGAAUAGCAACUAUUAACCGCGUCAAACGUCAAAAAUUUGACAAAACGUCAUCUGGUAUGAAAUGAUAAAAUCAUAGUAGAUACCGACAGAGAAGUUGUACUCAUUGGUUAUUAUUCUGGUUUUAUACAACGGGAGCCCACCUGUAUGAACCGCAUUCUGGGCUGGUGUCGAUCAGCUCUUCCUAUAUACGAGCUUGGCCAAUGGGAGACUACGUAUUACGAUAUUCACAACAAAGUUUCCUUGUCAUGGGGAUGAAAUAAAUGUUAUUUAUGUUAAA